rnacentral:tRNA from 1 species
GAGGAUAUAGCUUAAGUGGUAGAGCACAUGCUUAGCAUGCAUGAGGUCCUGGGUUCAAUCCCCAGUACCUCCA